UUAAAAAUAUUGUAAAUACCUUCACAGUUUCAUUGUUGCAUCGGUAUUGGAAACAAUUAUUUGUGUGUCAGUCGAAUGACAUUUCAAAUGUUCUAUUUAAAAUACGAAUUGUACACGACUUAUUAGAAAUUUUGUUACCGAGAUAUCGUAAUUGGUCUGCCUAUUCUAGAAUCGAAUAUGAAAAUGAGUUUUUUCACAGAGCAUUUCAGUGUGAAGAAACUCUUUCCCGUGCAGAAAAACCCAAGAAUAUUCAUUGCUAGUCAGGUAUAUUACUAUGAAAAAAGAGAAUGUGAAAACCAAUGGCACAUGAAAGUGUCAAUUUUUAGCAGAGACCGCAGGUCGAGGCGUUUUACUUGUCCGUACGAAUACAGAAAUGUGAGAAACUUCGAAGUAAACGAACUUCCGAGAAAAGUUUAGCAUUUUGAAGGUGGACGAAAGAAUGUUGUUAAAUCUGCAUACGUUGUUAGUCAGACUGAAAUUUAAUGUACCCCGUCACCUUCUCAGAUCCAAAUUAAUAACAUUUAAUAUUCCACGAUUACCUAAUUUGACAGGCAGAAUUGAUGCAUACAAAAAACAUUUCAAUAACUUUGGAUCAUUUUAUUAAAUUAAUCAUUUUGAUAUUUCAAGCAAAUUUCUUAUGCAUAAUGAAAUAUUACGCUUGGAGCGUUCCAGAUCAGUUUCAUGGUAGUGAAUAUUUUGUUUUGUGGUUAACGUGUGUUAACGUAGGUUAACGUAUUAUUAUUGUCAUCAUUUUUCUUAGUUGAGAACAACCUAUUUUUCACAUAGGAAUAUGUAAUUGGACUAUUCGUUUGUUUGCCACAAUAAAUAAAUGAUUCAUAUGGUCUAAUAGGCUUCUAUUAUUUCACUUACUUUUUUUGAAUACUCUA